CCUACGGGGGGCAGCAGUGAGGAAUAUUGGUCAAUGGACGCAAGUCUGAACCAGCCAUGCCGCGUGCAGGAAGACGGCUCUAUGAGUUGUAAACUGCUUUUGUACGAGGGUAAACGCAGAUACGCGUAUCUGUCUGAAAGUAUCGUACGAAUAAGGAUCGGCUAAUUCCGUGCCAGCAGCCGCGGUAAUACGGAGGAUUAAAGCGUUAUCCGGAUUUAUUGGGGUUAAAGGGUGCGUAGGCGGUCGGAUAAGUUAGCGGUGAAAUCCCGGGGCUCAACUUCGGAAUUGCCUCUGAUACUGUUCGUCUAGAGAGUAGUUGCGGUAGGCGGAAUGUAUGGUGUAGCGGUGAAAUGCUUAGAGAUCAUACAGAACACCGAUUGCGAAGGCAGCUUGCCGAGCUACUUCUGACGUUGAGGCACGAAAGCGUGGGGAGCAAACAGGAUUAGAUACCCUUGUAGUC
rnacentral:rRNA from 1 species